CAUGUUCUGGGCUACAUCCAAAGCCCCGUGGUCAAGUGAGGGAGGGGAUUCUGCCCCUCUGCCCCGCUCUGCUGAGACCCCACCUGCAGUGCUGCAUCCAGCU